rnacentral:rRNA from 1 species
GCUCUUUCGCACGCGACGAUAAUGACGGUAGCGUGAGAAGAAGCCCCGGCUAACUUCGUGCCAGCAGCCGCGGUAAUACGAAGGGGGCUAGCGUUGUUCGGAAUUACUGGGCGUAAAGGGCGCGUAGGCGGCUUUUCAAGUCAGGCGUGAAAUCCCCGGGCUUAACCUGGGAACUGCGUUUGAGACUGGAAGGCUUGAGUUCGGGAGAGGUGAGUGGAAUUCCCAGUGUAGAGGUGAAAUUCGUAGAUAUUGGGAAGAACACCAGCGGCGAAGGCGGCUCACUGGACCGAUACUGACGCUGAGGCGCGAAAGCGUGGGGAGCAAACAGGAUUAGAUACCCUGGUAGUCCACGCCGUAAA